CUGGUUGAUCCUGCCAGUAGUCAUAUGCUUGUCUCAAAGAUUAAGCCAUGCAUGUCUAAGCACAAGCCGAUUAAUGGUGAAGCCGCGAAUGGCUCAUUACAACAGCCAUAGUUUCUCAGAUCUUACUUUUCUACUUGGAUAACUGUGGUAAUUCUAGAGCUAAUACACGCAAAAAAGCUCAGACCUUACGGAAUGAGCGCAUUUAUUAGAACAAAAACCAAUCGGGCUUCGGUCCGUCAUUUGGUGAAUCUGAAUAACUUUGCUGAUCGCACGGUCUUCGUACCGGCGACAUAUCUUUCAAAUGUCUGCCUUAUCAACUUUCGAUGGUAGUUUAUGCGCCUACCAUGGUUGUAACGGGUAACGGAGAAUAAGGGUUCGACUCCGGAGAGGGAGCCUGAGAAACGGCUACCACAUCCAAGGAAGGCAGCAGGCACGCAAAUUACCCACUCCCGGCACGGGGAGGUAGUGACGAAAAAUAAUGAGACGGCUCGCUAUGCGGUCCGUCAUCGGAAUGGGUACAAUUUAAAUCCUUUAACGAGGAUCUAUUGGAGGAAAAGUCUGGUGCCA
rnacentral:rRNA from 1 species